UAUGACAAACCUCUCCUAGUACGAAAGGACCGGAGAAGUGAGGCCAAUACCCCAAGCACGCCUCCCCGCAAGUGAUGACAACAACUAAAUCACUAUAAAGGACAUCAACCACAAACUAACAAUCCUAAAAAAGGACC
rnacentral:rRNA from 1 species